rnacentral:misc_RNA from 1 species
AACGCACAUUGCGCCUUCCAGUACUCUGGGAGGCAUGCCUGUCCGAGCGUCGUUUCAACCCUCAAGCCCUCGUGGUUUGGUGUUGGAGUCCUACAGUCUUGUAGUCUCCCAAAACCAGUGGCGGACCCGUCGCGGCCCUUCCUUUGCGUAGUAGCAUUCGCCUCGCAUCGGGAGCCCACGGGACUUUCUAGCCUCUAAACCCCCUACAAGUCCGCUCCGGCGGCACAAGGUUGACCUCGGAUCAGGUAGGAAUACCCGCUGAACUUAA